GCUGGGCGCAGUGGCGUGCGCCUGUAAUCCCAGCUGCUUGGGAGGCUGAGGCAGGAGAAUUGCUUGAACCCCGGGAGGUGGAGGUUGCAGUGAGCCGUGAUUGUGCCAUUGCACUCCAGCCUGGGCAACAGAGUGAGACUCUGUCUCAG
rnacentral:SRP_RNA from 1 species